rnacentral:rRNA from 1 species
AUUGAACGCUGGCGGCAGGCCUAACACAUGCAAGUCGAACGAGUGGCGGACGGGUGAGUAAUGUCUGGGAAACUGCCUGAUGGCGGGGGAUAACUACUGGAAACGGUAGCUAAUACCGCAUACCAUCAGAUGUGCCCAGAUGGGAUUAGCUUGUUGGUGGGGUAAAGGCUCACCAAGGCGACGGUCCCUAGCUGGUCUGAGAGGAUGACCAGCCACACUGGAACUGAGACACGGCCCAGACUCCUACGGGAGGCAGCAGUGGGGAAUAUUGAACAAUGGGGGAAAGCCUGAUGCAGCCAUGCCGCGUGUAUGAAGAAGGCCUUCGGGUUGUAAAGUACUUUUAGCAGGGAGGCGUUACCCGCAGAAGAAGCACCGGCUAACUCCGUGCCAGCAGCCGCGGUAAUUC